AGUUAUUAGGUUGGUGCAAAAGUAAUUGUGGUUUUCGCCAUUAAAAGUAUGGCCAAAUUGUAAUUACUUUUGCACCAACCUAAUAUUU
rnacentral:miRNA from 1 species